rnacentral:ncRNA from 1 species
AGUAGCACGCUCAAGACCCGAAGCGGAGUGAUCUAGCCAUGGGCAGGUUGAAGCGGAGGUAAGACUUCGUGGAGGACCGAACCCACCAGGGUUGAAAACCUGGGGGAUGACCUGUGGUUAGGGGUGAAAGGCCAAUCAAACUCCGUGAUAGCUGGUUCUCCCCGAAAUGCAUUUAGGUGCAGCGUCGUGUGUUUCUUGCCGGAGGUAGAGCACUGGAUAGGCGAUGGGCCCUACCGGGUUACUGACCUUAGCCAAACUCCGAAUGCCGGUAAGUGAGAGCGCGGCAGUGAGACUGUGGGGGAUAAGCUCCAUGGUCGAGAGGGAAACAGCCCAGAGCAUCGACUAAGGCCCCUAAGCGUACGCUAAGUGGGAAAGGAUGUGGAGUCGCAGAGACAACCAGGAGGUUGGCUUAGAAGCAGCCACCCUUGAAAGAGUGCGUAAUAGCUCACUGGUCUAGUGAUUCCGCGCCGACAAUGUAGCGGGGCUCAAGCGUACCGCCGAAGUCGUGUCAUUG